UUCUUACCCGAGCAGCGGUGCCUCCUUCCCCCGCCACCCACCCCCUCCUACGGGAGGCAGCAGUGGGGAAUAUUGCACAAUGGGGGAAACCCUGAUGCAGCAACGCCGCGUGAGUGAUGACGGCCUUCGGGUGUAAAGCUCUGUCUCAGGGACGAUAAUGACGUACGGAGAAAGGCCCCAGG
rnacentral:rRNA from 1 species